CUUUAAAAGGAUUGCAACUAAUUGAAGAAUGGAUACCACUGGGAAAAGGGCUCCCAGCACGAAGGCACAGCGGGAAGCCUGGGUCCUGCCCUCCAGCUGCCUGCCGCCCAGCACGGGUGGCACACACUGCCCGCUGCCAGCUGGCCUCACUGCCUGCAAGCAGUUCCUCCUGGCUCCACUGUGAUCUACCUCUGAGAGGUAUGCAGGCUCUCGAAGGAUAAGAGCUGCUAUAACUCAGUCCUUCUUCCUGCUUCACUAAUAAGGGACAAACUGGAUGGAGUCAAUGUCACUGUCCUUGGCGUCUGUUGGGAUGAAGGCGUGCAAUGAGCACAUGAUUUUGUUGAGCUGACCUCUUCUCUCCUGCACCUGGAAGCCCCUGAGGCCUGGGCCACACAGGCAUUCCCAGCUGCUGCCUUGUUCCAUGCGGUGGUUUCUGUGGCUGCAGCUGUGGGAAAUGAGGAGUGCUUAGGGCGGGAAGACAUGUGGACCCAGAGGCCAGGGGCUCUUCAUUUGAUCUCACCUCCUAUUUUGCCCUUCACAGAUGGGUUUCAGGAGACUUUUCGACCCCCCUUUCUCUGCCUCUUCACAUUCUUACUCCUUCUGGCCCACUCCCUUCUGGUGUCCACUCUUCCGAGGCUGAUAUUGCUGAGGUCACCGCCAACCUUUGGGCCCUGAUGGCCAGUGCACACUCCUUCAGCCUGAUGCCGCUGAACUCCCAACACAAUGUGGCCUGG
rnacentral:lncRNA from 1 species